UAAUCGAAAUAGUGUGGCAAUCCCUACAGCAGAAUGUAAAUCCCUUGGAGGUGACCCGAGUCUUCCUCAUUCAAGUUUACUUCUCGCUCACACAGAGCACGUGAUAAGGAGCCUCAGUUCCAUAGGCUGCCUGGAGGGCUGGCUGAAUGAAGACAUCAAUCGGAAAAGGACAUGUUUUCGUGUAUAUAUAAUACCACCAGGUUCAAGAAGAAGUGGGGCAGGUAUGCUGUUCCCUUUGUACAGAAGCAGAAAUUGAAACCAGCAGAAACCUGUGACUGGGAACCCUUUCCCAAGGAACUCCUAUUCUUGAAAGCAGACGCAUUUACCUGCCACUGCCCCAGGACUGAACCACACGCUGUCACAGAGCAUCUUGUAUUUUUGAAAGAGUUCGUCUCUUGGCCAGGCCGUGACAUGCACAACCUUGGAGGCGGAGAUGGGGGAUGAGCCUCCAGAAGGAGCAGAUGGCAGAAGCAGAUGCACAGACGGGGGCUGUCGUGGGGCUUCUCUGGGAAGCCGCUCCGUUUUCCAGGAGCGGAGUGUGUGCCUAAGAUGAAAAGAUUUACUUGAAACCUCCCGGGGAGCAGCUGUGGUUCAGGGAGGUUCUGCUUCAUGCUUUUGAUCCUGGGACCCUCUGAGAAUGAGCUGGAAGCUGCUGUGACUCCCUCCCCAGAAUCUAAAGCCAGUAGCCUGCCCCCUGGCAGCAUGUGGCCAGCACCAAGGAGAAUGGAUCCCUGGCACUCACUUAUCCAGACUCUGUCCUGAAUGUCUAGCGUCCACCCAUCAUAUGAUCUGCUUCCCUGCCUGUUCCUGAGCUCAUCAGCUCCUGACCCCCAGUCUGUCUCUAUGCAGCAGCCGGAGGGCAAACCAGAUCACGUGGCUCUCCCGCCGAAAGCCAUCCAAGGACCCGGCCCCUGCUCUCGCCCACCUCUGACCUUGCUCCCCUCCCUCCAGGCACACUGGCCUUUACGCUCCUCACACGCUUCAAGCUCCUUCCUGACUCUGGCCCGCACAGGUCGUUUCCUCUUCCUGCAACACUGUGGCCCCAGACCUCUGCGUGCCCGGCAGCCUCUCGACGUUCGGUUCUCAGUUCACACGUCACUCUCCGGUGAGCC